rnacentral:lncRNA from 1 species
GCGUGGUGGCAGGUGUCUGUAGUCCCGGCUACUCGGGAGGCUGAGGCAGGAGAAUGGCAUGAACCCAGGAGGCGGGGCUUGCAGUGAGCUGACAUAGAGCCACUAUGGUCCGGCCUGGGCAAAAGAGUGAGACUCUGUCUCAAAAAAAAAAAAAAAAAAAAAGAAAAAGUGUGAACUAGCUGGGCACAGUGGCUCAUGCCUGUAAUCCCAGCACUUUGGGAGGCCAAGGUGAGAAAAUGGAUUGAGCCCAGAAGUUCAAGACCAGCCUGGGCAACAUAGCGAGACCCCCGUUUCUACAAAUAAUUUAAAAAUUGGCUGGGCAUGGUGAUGCAUGUCUGUGGACCCAGCUACUCAGGAGGCUGAGGCAGGAGAAUCACUUGAACCCAGGCAGUCAAAGCUGCAGUGAGCUGCAAUCAAACCACUGCACUCCAGCCUGAGCAAUAGAGUGAGACCCUGCCUCAGACCAAAAAAAAAAAAAAAAAAGUGUGAACCUUUGGGCCUGAUGUGGAGACUGAAGCUUAUUCCUGGCGCCCUUUCUUCCUUUCUGUUUUUAUUCUUUGCACGCUGAGGUUGACAGAAAGCCCGGGCAGAGGCUGCUGGCCGGCUCUUGGGAAGGGCAGGCCACUUUUGUACUUUAAUGGCAUUAUGUUUUUGAUUUUUUUUUUUUUUUUUUUUUUUUUUUUUGAGACAGAGUCUCGCUCUGUCACCAGGCUGGAGGGCAGUGGCGCAAUCUUGGCUCACCGCAACCUCCACCUCCUGGGUUCAAAUGAUUCUCCUGCCUCAGUCUCCUGAAUAGCUGGGAUUACAGGUGUGCACUGCCACGUCCGGCUAAUUUUUGUAUUUUUAGCAGAGACAGAGUUUCAUAUGUUGGCCAGGCUGGUCUCAAACUCAUGACCUCAGGUGAUCCACCCACCUCUGCCUCCUAAAAUGCUGGGAUUAUAGGCGUGAGCCUCCAUGCCUGGUGGGUUUUUUUGUUUUGUUUUGUUUUUUUGUUUUGAGUUGGGGUCUCACUCUGUUGCUCAGGCUGGAGUGCAGUGGCAUGACCACAGCUCACUGCAGCCUCAACCUCCUGGGCUCAAGUGAUCCUCCUGCCUCAGCCUCCUAAGUAGCUGGGCCUACCAGCACGUGCCACCACACUCAGCUGUUUGGAUUUUUAGUAGAGACUGGGGUCUUGCUUGUUGGCCAGGCUGGUCCUGAACCCCUGGCUUGAAGUGAUCCUCCCACCUCAAUCUCCCAAAGUGCUGGGAUUACAGGCGUGGCUCCUGCACUGGCCCCUGCUGACACCUGGAUUUUGGACUUCUGGCCUCUAGUCUGUGGUCUGUGGGACUUUGUACAGAUAAGUCAAAAGGCAGAAGCUGAAUGUGAAUGCCCAUGCUAUUGUUUAUAAAAUCACCCCUCCUCCUUUUCUAACUCCCGCAGCCCACCCUCUUCCCCCAGCCCAGACCGUCCUUGCAGACCUUCACCCUGUCCUACCUGUGUGGGUGCGGACAUGGCCCUGCAGUAACCAGGGCCUGGAGAAGGCCUUGCCACAGAUCUUGCAGGUGCAGGGCAGCGUGUGAGUGCGGAUGUGCAUCUUGAGGGCACCCAGGCUGGUGUACUCCUUGUCGCAGUACUUGCAGGUGAAGACACGCCCCACCUGCAGGUGGCAGUGCAGCUGCCGGUGCCUGGCCAGCCCGGCCAGCGUGUGGUAGGGUUUGUGGCAGUGGAAGCACUCAAAGCCGCCCGGGGCUCGGGGCAUCCGCUCAGCCCCAAGCAGUUUUUCCGGAGCCCCGUGCCGGUCUGGGCCCAAGGUCGGGGACCACCGUGUGGGCAGCACCAGCAGUGGGGGCAGGUUGAGGUGGUUCAGGCUGUCUUUGAGGGGUACAAUGGCGGCCCGGCUGGCCCGAGGGUCGACCUCGCUGACUUCCAAGGCGUCCAGCCCAGAGGCCCCCAGAGCUUCCUCGAUCCGUGGCAGGAGGGGCAGGGAGAUGCAGGCGACGGCCGAGGAGCGGUCCCAGGGCUGGGGAAGGUCACCGGGCACAGAAGGGGCCUCCUUGUCUCGGGGGAGGAGGGGCACCACCAGCCCCCCACAGGCAGAGCAGGCACCAUUGAUUUCUAGAGGGGUGGAGGGGAGAGAAUAGAAAGAUGAAGACUGAAUCCCCAGCACUUUGUGUUUUCCAACUCUGAUUCGUGGACCCAGUCACAGCCCAUCAGCAGCCUGGCGUGGGAGGUGUAGCCGGGAACCUGCAUGCAGACCCAGCUUGCAAGGGAGCUGGCGGUGCUGUGCAGGGAAGUGACAGCGUGGCCAGGAGUGGAGUCAUCUAGAACAAGAAGGCCCCGCGGUCUAGAGAGCGAAUCUCACUUCCUCUUUAAACACAAAGAAACAUCUGACGGGACCCUUUGUGUUCAGGAACAUGAAACAGGCCUCGUGGGUAAAGGAGGGCCCUUUACGCCUCGGCUGGGCAGGACCCUCUGAUGAGCCCCACCCACCUCUGGAGGGGUCCCAGCCUGGGCCGGCAUCCUCCAGGUGCCCAUGCAGCAGCCAUCAGUCAGACGCUUGGCAGCAAGGUGCCGGCUGAGUGUAAAAUCAGCCCACUCAUAACUAAUCACCCUCCAGUCACCCCACAGUCGCCCCUCGGGCAUCUCCUUUUGUGGAUAACGAGGCAGUGAGCUCAGAAGCCUCCCUGGCCGCUGACCAGUGCCCACUCUACUGUGCUCUGAAUGCAGCUGAGCCACAUGGCUGGGGUGCUCUGGCCUGGGCUUUCAGAAUUACCCCGGCUGGGCUCCUCCCCAGGACGGUGUUUCCUCUAUCUGGGGGCUGGCACACUGCACACCACAUGGGUGAUCCAUGUAAGGGCAGCAGCCCCCAGAUAAACAGGUUAGUCUGCAGGUAAGAGUUAAACUCUGUAUGUCCCCAAAGCCAAAAUCUCCCAACAGCCCUCAAUCCCUUUCUUACUCUAUAUGUGUUAAAAUGGAUCUCUGGCUCUGUUUCUACCUCCAUGCUGAGGCUUUGGGUAGAGACAGACAACCCAUAGAAUAGGAGAAAAUAUUUGCAAAUCAGACUUCUGAUCAGGAAUAGCAUCUAGAACACUAGAACAUAUAAAGGAUGUUAGCAAGUCGACAAUAAAAAGACAAAUAAUACAAUUUUAAUAUGGGCAAGGGAUUUUUUUUUUUUUUUUUUUUUUUUUUUUUUAGAGACGGAGUCUCGCUCUGUUGCCAGGCUGGAGUGCAGUGGCGUGAUCUCGGUUCACUGUAACCUCCACCUCCUGGGUUCAAGCGAUUCUCCUGCCUCAGCCUCCUGCGUAGCUGGGAGUACAGGCGCCUGCCACCACGCCCGGCUAAUUUUUUUGUAUUUUUUUUGUAGAGA